rnacentral:rRNA from 1 species
UAGGGAAUCUUCCGCAAUGGACGCAAGUCUGACGGAGCAACGCCGCGUGAGUGAAGAAGGAUUUCGGUUCGUAAAACUCUGUUGUUAGAGAAGAACAGCGCAUAGAGUAACUGUUAUGCGUGUGACGGUAUCUAACCAGAAAGCCACGGCUAACUACGUGCCAGCAGCCGCGGUAAUACGUAGGUGGCAAGCGUUGUCCGGAUUUAUUGGGCGUAAAGCGAGCGCAGGCGGUCAAUUAAGUCUGAUGUGAAAGCCCCCGGCUCAACCGGGGAGGGUCAUUGGAAACUGGUUGACUUGAGUGCAGAAGAGGAGAGUGGAAUUCCAUGUGUAGCGGUGAAAUGCGUAGUUAUAUGGAGGAACACCAGUGGCGAAGGCUACUCUCUGGUCUGUAACUGACGCUGAGGUUCGAAAGCGUGGGUAGCAAACAGG